GCCAACGACCAUACCACGCUGAGUACAUCGGUUCUCGUCCGAUCACCGAAAUUAAGCAGCGUCGGGCGCGGUUAGUA
rnacentral:rRNA from 1 species